rnacentral:lncRNA from 9 species
UGUCAAACGCGCUGAACACGGCUCUGCCCAUCCUCCCCCAGCGUGGACUUAGCAAAUGCUGGGACGUUUCUGAGAGCUUUUGAUUUUAAUGACUUCAGGAACUAGGAAGAGAGCAGGAUUUGUCUCUGAAAGGAAUGAAUUACAACUGUCUGUACGGACAGUUUUCCUAAAUCAGGCAUGGAGCUACUGUCUAUCUCUUUACCCGGAGAUCCUCUUAGUGUCUGAGCCCAAGGGCGGAGUAUUGACCGUGAACUUCCUAAGGUCCCGCGAGGACUAGAACUCCAGAGUCAAGGCUUUGCGUGAACGAGGGGCUCAAACCUGGUGGCGCCUCCACCCCUCCUAGAGAUGUUGUCAAGCGGCCUGUGAGAAGAUGAGGAGGGAUGGAGAAGAUGCUUGUCUGUAGACCGUGUUUUGAGCUCUAUGGCAGCUCCUCUGCAAACCUUAGGAAUGAUGAGACGGGGCAGCAGCAUGAAGGCAGAGGCUUUACCCCAUCAGGGCGCUUUUUAGGUGUUGUGAAAACCCGUAAGAGAACUGCUAAACACAGGAUAGUUAAGCCAUGUUUCUGCUGUUGGUCCUGGGAGCACUGCCACCUCUGCUUGCACCUAGGUGGGCACCUGCCAGCCGAUGGGCCCUUACUUGGCUGUUAACUCGAGAGCAUUCCUGUUAUACACAGGGAUUCUGAACAGGAAGAAGGGCAUUUCUCAGAAGGAACAGUUGAUGUCCAGCUCAUUUUUUAUAUUUAUCAAGGCAGCAUGGGCAGCAGCUGAACUACCCAGAAUUUAUAUGCUGAUAAUCAUUAUGCAAGCAUUACACAUAAAUCACAAGUUCAAAGUAAGGGUUUAUUACCCUCUAUGGUUGUUGCCGUGUUGGGUACCAGAAGGAGGAAACCUUGAACUCCAGAUAAGAAUAAUCAGUCCUUCCAACGUAACUGCGCAUGCCUAGCUGUCAGCCCCACCAGCGUGGACACGUGACUGAAGAACGCAUCAGCCCAGCUGCCUGUAAGGGAAGGGACUUCUGCAUUCUUUUUUAAGCACAGGACUGCCCUCUUGAAUUUUAGUUACGCAUUAUUUAUAACAUGAAAACAAAUGGCAUUUUGUUCCCCCGAGAAGUGACUCAAGCUAAAAAUCAAACUUUUAAAAAUGUUUUAAAAUGUUCAUAAAUUACACAUAAUAGGUUUCAUCGUGAGUUGCUUACUCACUUGGGAGGUUUGCUUCCUGGAAUUUUUUGUUUUUUUCCGUUUUAGGGCCACACCCAUAGCUUAUGGAAGUUCCCAGGCUAGGGGUCAAAUCUUGAGUCAGCGCUGCCGCUGCCGGCCUACACCACAGCCACAGCAACACUAGAUCUGAGCCGUGUCUGCAACGUACACCACAGCUCACGGCAGUGCCGGAUCCUCAACCCACUGAGCAAGGCCGGGCAUCACACCCAAGUCCUCAGGGGUACUAGUUGAGCUCUUAACCUGCUGAGCCACCACGGGAACGCCUCUCGACCUUGAAAAUUGAGUAGGACCGUGACCUUUCCCACGGCCACUUCCCUGGCCGCCCUCUGUCCGAGAGAGGAUGCUCCUGCCACGGACACGACACUUUGAGAGGAGGGAGGAAAACAGCAGGCAGGUUUUCAGGGCUGAGAUGCAUGAAGAAAUGGUAUGUGAUCUGAGGUUGCUUAGAUUAGACAAGAUGACCGUUUCUGAAGAAAUAACUUUUUAUGAAAUGGUUAUCGAAUCUUAAUUACGCUUGAGGAUUACUCAUGAGCGUGUGCUCCUAAACUAUGUGGGUGAAACAAAUCAAUAGUUAGACUUGGGAAUUUGACCGUCCCGCUGAUGAGCCCAGGAUAGUCCACGGGGACAGGGAAUGAAGUCGUCGGGGGCGGGGAGGGGC